CAGCGCGGCCCGCCGUCGCUUCCAGGCCAUUUCGCGAUUGCUGGAAAGCAGCGCGUCGCUUCGUGGCAGAGAACCGCUUCAUCGGAGUCGUUCCUCGAGAAACGAUGGAGUUUCCUGGGCACGCCAAGCCCGCGCCUUUUGCCGGACUCGUGCAGCUCGUGCCCGGCGCUUGAAUACUACAUCAGGGUCGGUAGACUCGGGCUCGGCCUGCCACCGCUUGCGUCGCUGCUCCGUGGUUCUCGCUCGGUGCUCGGCCUCUCGAUCACGACAAACCUGUGUGAACAACCGAGCAAUACAGCGAAAACGAUUACAGCAAGGACUUGGACAGCUCUCAGCGGCGUCGUUUAGUGCUGAUCCAGUGACGAUGUGUUCAACUUUUAUUUUCUCUGACUUUCGGAAGAGCGUAAGUGUUUCUUAAUGUUUUUUUAGCCGAAUGCUGGACACACUUCUUCCGGCCCCGAUAAUUUCUUUAAUGUUUCAGAUUGAGCCUACAGUUACAGCUCAGUACGUCUGAAAGAAAAUAAUAAAAGCAUUUU